GACGAACGCUGGCGGCGUGCUUAACACAUGCAAGUCGAACGGAAAGGCCCUGCUUUUGUGGGGUGCUCGAGUGGCGAACGGGUGAGUAACACGUGAGUAACCUGCCCUUGACUUUGGGAUAACUUCAGGAAACUGGGGCUAAUACCGGAUAGGAGCUCCUGCUGCAUGGUGGGGGUUGGAAAGUUUCGGCGGUUGGGGAUGGACUCGCGGCUUAUCAGCUUGUUGGUGGGGUAGUGGCUUACCAAGGCUUUGACGGGUAGCCGGCCUGAGAGGGUGACCGGCCACAUUGGGACUGAAAGACGGCCCAGACUCCUACGGAGGGCAGCAGUGGGGAAUAGUACACAAUGGGCGGAAGCCUGAUGCAGCAACGCCGAGUGCGGGAUGACGGCCUUCGGGUUGUAAUCCGCUUUCGCCUGUGACGAAGCGUGAGUGACGGUAAUGGGUAAAGAAGCACCGGCUAACUACGUG
rnacentral:rRNA from 1 species